rnacentral:rRNA from 1 species
GACGAACGCUGGCGGCGUGCUUAACACAUGCAGGUCGAACGGAAAGGCCCUGCUUUUGUGGGGUGCUCGAGUGGCGAACGGGUGAGUAACACGUGAGUAACCUGCCCUUGACUUUGGGAUAACUUCAGGAAACUGGGGCUAAUACCGGAUAGGAGCUCCUGCUGCAUGGUGGGGGUUGGAAAGUUUCGGCGGUUGGGGAUGGACUCGCGGCUUAUCAGCUUGUUGGUGGGGUAGUGGCUUACCAAGGGUUUGACGGGUAGCCGGCCUGAGAGGGUGACCGGCCACAUUGGGACUGAGAUACGGCCCAGACUGCUACGGGAGGCAGCAGUGGGGAAUAUUGCACAAUGGGCGGAAGCCUGAUGCAGAAACGCCGCGUGCGGGAUGACGGCCUUCGGGUUGUAAACCGCUUUCGCCUGUGACGAAGCGUGAGUGACGGUAAUGGGUAAAGAAGCACCGGCUAACUACGUG